AGCAGUAGCCGCGGUAAGACAGAGGAUGCAAGCGUUAUCCGGAAUGAUUGGGCGUAAAGCGUCUGUAGGUGGCUUUUCAAGUCCGCCGUCAAAUCCCAGGGCUCAACCCUGGACAGGCGGUGGAAACUACCAAGCUGGAGUACGGUAGGGGCAGAGGGAAUUUCCGGUGGAGCGGUGAAACGCGUUGAGAUCGGAAAGGACACCAACGGCGAAAGCACUCUGCUGGGCCGACACUGACACUGAGAGACGAAAGCUAGGGGAGCAAAUGGGAUUAGAUACCCCUGUAGUCCCUGUCUCUUAUAC
rnacentral:rRNA from 1 species